GACGAACGCUGGCGGCGUGCCUAAUACAUGCAAGUCGAACGCAGUGGGGACGGGUGAGUAACACCUGGGUAACCUCCCAUCAGAGGGGAUAACACUUGGAAACAGGUGCUAAACCGAUAUUGAUGUAUGGACCCUCGGUGCAUUAGCUAGUGGGUGAGGUAACGGCUCACCAAGGCCACGAUGCAUAGCGGAGCUGGGAGGGUGAUCGGCAACACGGGGACUGAGACAGGGCCCAGAGUCCUACGGGAGGCAGCAGUAGGGAAUCUUCGGCAAUGGACGAAAGUCUGACCGAGCAACGCCGCGUGAGUGAAGAAGGUUUUCGGAGCGUAAAACUCUGUUGUUAGAGAAGCGGUAUCUAACCAGAAAGCCACGGCUAACUACGUGCCAGCAGCCGCGGUAAUUC
rnacentral:rRNA from 1 species